GAUGAACGCUGGCGGCGUGCCUAACACAUGCAAGUCGAACGGGGUGUCUGAUAUCGAAAGAGGAUUCGUCUGAUUUCACCUUCAGACACUUAGUGGCGGACGGGUGAGUAACGCGUGGGUAACCUGCCCCAUACAGGGGGAUAGCAGCUGGAAACGGCUGAUAAUACCGCAUAAGCGCACACUGUCGCAUGGCAGAGUGUGAAAAACUCCGGUGGUAUGGGAUGGACCCGCGUCUGAUUAGCUAGUAGGCAGGGUAACGGCCUACCAAGGCGACGAUCAGUAGCCGGCCUGAGAGGGUGAACGGCCACAUUGGGACUGAGACACGGCCCAAACUCCUACGGGAGGCAGCAGUGGGGAAUAUUGCACAAUGGGGGGAACCCUGAUGCAGCGACGCCGCGUGAAGGAUGAAGUAUUUCGGUAUGUAAACUUCUAUCAGCAGGGAAGAUAAUGACGGUACCUGACUAAGAAGCCCCGGCUAACUACGUGCCAGCAGCCGCGGUAAUACGUAGGGGGCAAGCGUUAUCCGGAUUUACUGGGUGUAAAGGGAGCGUAGGCGGCAUGGCAAGUCAGGAGUGGAAUCCCGCGGCUCAACUGCGGGGCUGCUCUUGAAACUGUCAGGCUUGAUUCCGGGAGAGGUAAGCGGAAUUCCUAGUGUAGCGGUGAAAUGCGUAGAUAUUAGGAGGAACACCAGUGGCGAAGGCAUCUCACGAAUCCGACACUGACGCUGAGGCACGAAAGCGUGGGGAUCAAACAGGAUUAGAUACCCUGGUAGUCCACGCAGUAAACGAUGAUGACUAACUGUCGGCGAUAAACAGUCGGUGGCCAAGCGAAAGCGAUAAGUCAUCCACCUGGGGAGUACGUUCGCAAGAAUGAAACUCAAAGGAAUUGACGGGGGCCCGCACAAGCAGUGGAUUAUGUGGUUUAAUUCGAAGCAACGCGAAGAACCUUACCAGGGCUUGACAUCCAACUAACGAAGUAGAGAUACAUUAGGUGCCCUUCGGGGAAAGUUGAGACAGGUGGUGCAUGGUUGUCGUCAGCUCGUGUCGUGAGAUGUUGGGUUAAGUCCCGCAACGAGCGCAACCCUUGUUGCUAGUUGCUACGCAAGAGCACUCUAGCGAGACUGCCGUUGACAAAACGGAGGAAGGUGGGGACGACGUCAAAUCAUCAUGCCCCUUAUGUCCUGGGCUACACACGUAAUACAAUGGCGUUUAACAGAGGGAGGCAAAACCGCGAGGUGGAGCAAAUCCCCAAAAAACGUCUCAGUUCGGAUUGCAGGCUGCAACUCGCCUGCAUGAAGUCGGAAUUGCUAGUAAUCGCGGAUCAGCAUGCCGCGGUGAAUACGUUCCCGGGCCU
rnacentral:rRNA from 1 species